rnacentral:rRNA from 1 species
UCGAUAAGCGCUGAAAGCAUCUAAGCGCGAAGCGAGCCCUGAGAUGAGUCUUCCCUGGCACUUUAAGUGUCCUAAAGGGUUGUUCGAGACUAGAACGUUGAUAGGCAGGGUGUGUAAGUGCUGCGAGGCAUUGAGCUAACCUGUACUAAUUGCCCGUGAGGCUUAACCAU